rnacentral:tRNA from 1 species
GUCUAUAUAGAUUAUUUAAAUCGUGAUGCUGUUAACUUCAGGAAAUGGUUGGAUACCAUUAUAGUCG